UCGGUUUGUUUGUAUUCUGUGUAGAUUAGUUUUCAUUAAAGUGGUGCGAGUUUUUAUUUUUAAUUAUAUAUAUAUAUAUAUUAAUCUAAAUAUUACCGUUUUUUUUAUAAGUAGGGCGGGUUGGCAGGAGUAAUAUUUAACAUGAUUUAACCAAUUUCACAUGUGGGGCGAUUUGAUAAAUCAGUUUGUGGCGGUUUUUUUAAAAGUGGGCGAUUAGCCAGUGGGGCGACUUGUCCUGCUUCCAUUUGAAGGCCCCCUUGAAGGUUUUGUAUGACUAUAUGAACCAUCUUUCACGUAAAACCCCCAUGUGCAUUUUGAAAAGUUGGCAGAUAUGUUUCUAACUCCAGGCAAAAUCUACCGGUAUGAAUGAAAAAGAAGUUUUCAAUUAAGGCUCUGUGGCCAUAACAGCUGUCUCAUUAGCAUUUUAACCACUUC
rnacentral:lncRNA from 1 species